GCCGGAAUAGUUUAAUUGGUAAAACCGUUUCCUUGUAAGAUAUUAAUUUUGGUUCAAGUCCAAAUUUCGGCA
rnacentral:tRNA from 1 species